UACGGAGGAGGCAAGCGUUAUCCGGAAUUAUUGGGCGUAAAGCGUCCGUAGGUGGUUUAGUAAGUCUGCUGUUAAAGCGCGGGGCUUAACUCCGUAUCGGCAGUGGAAACUACUAGACUAGAGUGUGGUAGGGGUAGAGGGAAUUCCCAGUGUAGCGGUGAAAUGCGUAGAGAUCAGGAAGAACAUCGGUGGCGAAGGCGCUCUGCUGGACCAUAACUGACACUCAGGGACGAAAGCUAGGGGAGCGAAUGGG
rnacentral:rRNA from 1 species